GUUAUGGAGCAUCGCAUUAGAGACUUCGAGUAUUGAUCCCUGUUGCUACAAGUCUUCAUGCUAGUGCGGUCAGGGUUGGCUUCUUGCCAGCUUAGAGUUCGGUGAUGAUUUGAAGAUCAAUUUUUUUAAAAAUUUUAAAAAAAUUUAUAUUUAUCGUAAAUUUUUUAUUGGGGAUCUUUCGGUAUUUAAGUUGAUCGAAACUUGAGAAUGAAGAAGAAGAAGAAGAAGAAGAAG
rnacentral:lncRNA from 1 species